UAAUUUGAGAGUUUGAUCCUGGCUCAGGACGAACGCUGGCGGCGUGCCUAAUACAUGCAAGUCGAACGAACUCUGGUAUUGAUUGGUGCUUGCAUCAUGAUUUACAUUUGAGUGAGUGGCGAACUGGUGAGUAACACGUGGGAAACCUGCCCAGAAGCGGGGGAUAACACCUGGAAACAGAUGCUAAUACCGCAUAACAACUUGGACCGCAUGGUCCGAGCUUGAAAGAUGGCUUCGGCUAUCACUUUUGGAUGGUCCCGCGGCGUAUUAGCUAGAUGGUGGGGUAACGGCUCACCAUGGCAAUGAUACGUAGCCGACCUGAGAGGGUAAUCGGCCACAUUGGGACUGAGACACGGCCCAAACUCCUACGGGAGGCAGCAGUAGGGAAUCUUCCACAAUGGACGAAAGUCUGAUGGAGCAACGCCGCGUGAGUGAAGAAGGGUUUCGGCUCGUAAAACUCUGUUGUUAAAGAAGAACAUAUCUGAGAGUAACUGUUCAGGUAUUGACGGUAUUUAACCAGAAAGCCACGGCUAACUACGUGCCAGCAGCCGCGGUAAUACGUAGGUGGCAAGCGUUGUCCGGAUUUAUUGGGCGUAAAGCGAGCGCAGGCGGUUUUAAGUCUGAUGUGAAAGCCUUCGGCUCAACCGAAGAAGUGCAUCGGAAACUGGGAAACUUGAGUGCAGAAGAGGACAGUGGAACUCCAUGUGUAGCGGUGAAAUGCGUAGAUAUAUGGAAGAACACCAGUGGCGAAGGCGGCUGUCUGGUCUGUAACUGACGCUGAGGCUCGAAAGUAUGGGUAGCAAACAGGAUUAGAUACCCUGGUAGUCCAUACCGUAAACGAUGAAUGCUAAGUGUUGGAGGGUUUCCGCCCUUCAGUGCUGCAGCUAACGCAUUAAGCAUUCCGCCUGGGGAGUACGGCCGCAAGGCUGAAACUCAAAGGAAUUGACGGGGGCACAAGCGGUGGAGCAUGUGGUUUAAUUCGAAGCUACGCGAAGAACCUUACCAGGUCUUGACAUACUAUGCAAAUCUAAGAGAUUAGACGUUCCCUUCGGGGACAUGGAUACAGGUGGUGCAUGGUUGUCGUCAGCUCGUGUCGUGAGAUGUUGGGUUAAGUCCCGCAACGAGCGCAACCCUUAUUAUCAGUUGCCAGCAUUAAGUUGGGCACUCUGGUGAGACUGCCGGUGACAAACCGGAGGAAGGUGGGGAUGACGUCAAAUCAUCAUGCCCCUUAUGACCUGGGCUACACACGUGCUACAAUGGAUGGUACAACGAGUUGCGAACUCGCGAGAGUAAGCUAAUCUCUUAAAGCCAUUCUCAGUUCGGAUUGUAGGCUGCAACUCGCCUACAUGAAGUCGGAAUCGCUAGUAAUCGCGGAUCAGCAUGCCGCGGUGAAUACGUUCCGGGCCUUGUACACACCGCCCGUCACACCAUGAGAGUUUGUAACACCCAAAGUCGGUGGGGUAACCUUUUAGGAACCAGCCGCCUAAGGUGGGACAGAUGAUUAGGGUGAAGUCGUAACAAGGUAGCCGUAGGAGAACCUGCGGCUGGAUCACCUCCUUU
rnacentral:rRNA from 1 species